rnacentral:rRNA from 1 species
GGGCCCGCACAAGCAGUGGAGCAUGUGGUUUAAUUCGAAGCAACGCGAAGAACCUUACCAAGACUUGACAUCCCGCUGACCGGUCUAGAGAUAGACCUUCCCUUCGGGGCAGCGGUGACAGGUGGUGCAUGGUUGUCGUCAGCUCGUGUCGUGAGAUGUUGGGUUAAGUCCCGCAACGAGCGCAACCCCUAAAUUGUGUUGCCAUCAUUUAGUUGGGCACUCACAAUUGACUGCCGGUGACAAACCGGAGGAAGGCGGGGAUGACGUCAAAUCAUCAUGCCCCUUAUGUCUUGGGCUACACACGUGCUACAAUGGGCGGUACAAAGGGUUGCGAUGCCGCGAGGCGGAGCCAAUCCCAAAAAGCCGCUCACAGUUCGGAUUGCAGGCUGCAACUCGCCUGCAUGAAGCUGGAAUUGCUAGUAAUCGCGGAUCAGCAUGCCGCGGUGAAUUCGUUCCCGGGCCUU